AGGGAAUCUUCCGCAAUGGGCGAAAGCCUGACGGAGCAACGCCGCGUGAGUGAUGAAGGUCUUCGGAUCGUAAAACUCUGUUAUUAGGGAAGAACAUAUGUGUAAGUAACUGUGCACAUCUUGACGGUACCUAAUCAGAAAGCCACGGCUAACUACGUGCCAGCAGCCGCGGUAAUACGUAGGUGGCAAGCGUUAUCCGGAAUUAUUGGGCGUAAAGCGCGCGUAGGCGGUUUUUUAAGUCUGAUGUGAAAGCCCACGGCUCAACCGUGGAGGGUCAUUGGAAACUGGAAAACUUGAGUGCAGAAGAGGAAAGUGGAAUUCCAUGUGUAGCGGUGAAAUGCGCAGAGAUAUGGAGGAACACCAGUGGCGAAGGCGACUUUCUGGUCUGUAACUGACGCUGAUGUGCGAAAGCGUGGGGAUCAAACAGGAUUAGAUACCCUGGUAGUCCACGCCGUAAACGAUGAGUGCUAAGUGUUAGGGGGUUUCCGCCCCUUAGUGCUGCAGCUAACGCAUUAAGCACUCCGCCUGGGGAGUACGACUGCAAGGUUG
rnacentral:rRNA from 1 species